rnacentral:rRNA from 1 species
UACAGAGGGUGCAAGCGUUAAUCGGAAUUACUGGGCGUAAAGCGUGCGUAGACGGUUACAUAAGUCGGGUGUGAAAGCCCCGGGCUCAACCUGGGAAUUGCAUUCGAGACUGCGUAGCUAGGGUGCGGAAGAGGGAAGCGGAAUUUCCGGUGUAGCGGUGAAAUGCGUAGAGAUGUGGAGGAACACCGAUGGCGAAGGCAGCCCCCUGGGCCAACACUGACGCUCAGGCACGAAAGCGUGGGGAGCAAACAGG